GGUAUUGCGUAUAUAUAAACAGAAGUGAUCAGGAUCAUAAUACACUUGUCUCUGCGGUAUCACCCUAGCAGUAUUGAUCUAUCAACACUGUAUAGUUGUUAAUCGAAAUCACGAUGGAAGGAACACAUAUUUUGUUGGUUGUGUGCAUUGCCUCUGCAGUUCUUGGUUGUAAUCAGAAACGUGGGGAACAUAUGCCUAGUAAACCCACAGGUUCAUCCGAAUGCAAAGGUCUAUGUGAUUGUCCAAACAUAAUCGACGUUCAUCUGAUUGUUCAAAACUACUUGAGACCAGAAUUCUUUGAGUACAACGUAACACUUAGAAAUACUUCACAGGGGGCACUCAUCAGACACCUUGAAUCAGCAGCUAAAGUAAAUCCACAUUUUAGAUUCAGCGCAAAUUAUCAUUCUCAAUGGGGGUAUUUUAUCAGUACAAUCAAUGAAUUAACUGGAAAUUGGACACUGGAUAAAACAUAUUGGGAAAUAUUGGAUUCUGAUUACAAUCAGCUACAAUUAGGCGCCAGUUCUUAUGUUCCAGAACACCAAGAGCUCAUCAUAUUCAACUUUACCAUGGGUGGUCAUUCAUAGACGACCAUUCAAAGCACAUCAAUUUUAUAAACGAGAAAAAACAUUUAAAUACAGUGUUACAAAUACAAUACGUUAUAAAUAUUUAAUUUUAUAAUAAAUAAAUGUGUUUUUAUCGAUAUUUUUAAAAACAGUUUUUAAUAAAUAAGACUACGAUUUUG